GUCCCCCCUCGGGGGGACCGCAUAUCAAACUGGAUUAUAUACAGAGAAGAUUAGCAUGGCCCCUGCGCAAGGAUGACACGUUAAAGCAUGAAGCGUAUAACCAAUUUUU
rnacentral:snRNA from 1 species